rnacentral:tRNA from 1 species
GAGGGUGUAGCUUAAGUGGUAGAGCACAUGCUUAGCAUGCGUGAGGUCUGGGUUCAAUCUCCAGUACCUCUA